UACGAAGGGGGCUAGCGUUGCUCGGAAUUACUGGGCGUAAAGGGCGCGUAGGCGGAUAUCUAAGUUGGGGGUGAAAUCCCGGGGCUCAACCUCGGAAUUGCCUUCAAAACUGGGUAUCUUGAGUUCGGGAGAGGUGAGUGGAAUUCCUGGUGUAGCGGUGAAAUGCGCAGAUAUCAGGAGGAACACCGGUGGCGAAGGCGGGUCUCUGGGCCGAAACUGACGCUGAGGAGCGAAAGCGUGGGGAGCAAACAGG
rnacentral:rRNA from 1 species